rfam:Desulfobacteraceae bacterium IS3 Ga0073107_10047, whole genome shotgun sequence.
CCCGGAAAUGAAUUUCAGGGCUAUUAUGUGCCGUCCCGCCGGGACU